GCUAGCGUAGCUCAGUUGGUAGAGCAACGGUUUCGUAAACCGUAGGUCGUGGGUUCGAGUCCCACCGUUAGCUCCA
rnacentral:tRNA from 1 species